ensembl:antisense Gm15350 predicted gene 15350
GGGCAUCUGCCAGGACAGCGAAGAAGGCCUGGUCUUGAGCAGCUUACCAAAGGGUGGGACAGAUUCUCCCAAUCCAAUACCAGCUGUCAGAGCAGGUCAAUUCUAGCAGAGGAAUCACUGUCAAGACCUCCUGCCCCUUGGAAGGGGACACAGCACCACAGCGGAUUCAAGCAUGACCUAAAGCAGCCCGCCUACUUGUACCCUCAAUCAUGUGGUAGAGCCACACCCUCCACCCCGAGGAGCUGCAACAUACCCUUCCACAGACUCCGGGGGAAGAAUCGAUCAUGUCAAUGCCAGAAGAGUCGGGAAGGACCUGCCCAUUGCAGAUGACAUGGGGUGAUGAAGUAGGAGCCGAGGAACUUCUGCAUCUCCACAGUGACAUACAUGGAUACGGGGAUGAUGUAAUUGAAGAGGACCAUGAAGGCCAGGAAGUCGGUGAAGGCCCUGAGGAACUGAUAACAUUGGUUACAUAAAGAAGCUGUAGGUCACCAAGCAAGGACAGGAAACCUCAGAGAGCUCAUCCGUUACCCCAGCCAGAGAAGCAAAGACAAAGGCCUACUUGGAAA